AAUAAGCCACUAAAUUAGCAUUGGGUCAGUUGAAGCUGGCUGGAAUUAGCAUUGGGUCCACGAUCAGUCUCAACUCACGGCUGUUUUCCCUCGCUUCCGCCCCACCCAGAUGAGCCACCAGCUGCCCAAGAGGAGACUCUCCACCACCAGCAAGUUGAAUCCAGCCGUGCCUCCUCAGGGCAGCAAGCGGGCCAGGCUGUUGGAGAGGCUCUCCAAGCGGAGGCUCUCCGCCACCAGCAGCCUGCAGCCCGCCAUCUCUCUCCCAGAUCUCAAACGAGCCAGGCCAGACUCAGGCUGAGGAUCUGGCCUGAGCCACAACUGCAUCCUGCCAGCCUCCCAAUCCCCCCGCUGAA